AAUUGUCCAACUCCAGAAUAAUUGCAGUUCACAAAUAGACUAACAAGAUCAGAGAAUCAAACCUUGGAUAUAUAACUCCAUCAGAGGCUCGCCGACACCGGAGCAGGGAUCAAGUAAUCCACAACAAUGACACUCUCCAGCAGCGGCCUCACCUUCUCCUUAAACGCCUCCACCUCGCCGGCAGCAUCCAUCGCAUCGAGCUCCUCCAACCCGGGAAAAACAGUCAGAAACCCCACACCAUACCCCUUCGCUCUCUCCGGCGAGAAAUUCUCCCCGUAGCUCACCUGCACAACCCCCGCCGGGGCCGAUCCCUCCACCCCAGCGAGUACAUCCACAAUCUCCGACGACUCCACCCCCUCCUUCGGCUUCACCAGCGUCAGCCGCGCCGCUGACCCCGGCGGCGGCCCUGCUGCUGUGGAGAGCCAGUCGAGAGCCAUGAUAUCGUCGCAGAUCGGGAGGACGUUGUUCUUGACGACGGCGACGUGAUCCGGGUGGGCGGAGUAGGCGGCGAGGUCGGGCUUGGAGGGAUAGCGGCUGUGGAGGAGGUGAGUGAAGCCAGCGGCAGAGGCGGCGGAGGAGCGGUGGCGGAGGAUGGGGGUGACGGAGAGGUGAGAGGCGAGGUUUAGGGAGGUGAGGGAGAGGAUGUUGGAGACCAUGGCGGAGGAAUCGGCGGAGGGUUGGAUUUUCAACAGAACGACGUGCUCGACGGCGGUGGACAUCUUGGCGGCGGCCGCAGAGGAGGGGAGGAAAGGGCGGAGGGAAGGGGAUCGGAGUGGGAAAGAGGGGGAAAUGGG
rnacentral:misc_RNA from 1 species